GACGUAGGGCGCGAGCGUUGUCCGGAUUUAUUGGGCGUAAAGAGCUCGUAGGCGGCUUGUUACGUCGACUGUGAAAACCCGCGGCUCAACUGCGGGCCUGCAGUCGAUACGGGCAGGCUAGAGUUCGGUAGGGGAGACUGGAAUUCCUGGUGUAGCGGUGAAAUGCGCAGAUAUCAGGAGGAACACCGGUGGCGAAGGCGGUUCUCUGGGCCUGUACUGACGCUGAGGAGCGAAAGCGUGGGGAGCGAACAGG
rnacentral:rRNA from 1 species